CCUCUUAGCAGAUGUAACUUAUGUCUUUUAGAAAGACAACAUGAUUCAUGCCUGUACGCUUUUUAUGUCUUUUUUACCAGUGAUUGUAAAUAGUUGUUAUAUUUUUGUUGAAGAGAAUGUUGAAAAAAGGAAGAGAUAGCCUUUAUUUCUCCAAGUCUACUGAUAUGAAUUUGGACGAUGAAUAAAAAGACAAAACAAGAGUUUGCUUUCCCUGUGGGUGGUGUUUUCUGGAACAGAUGUUCCUGGAUGCUCAGAGCAGGGCGUUGAAACUACAGUCACCUGAGUGAUACACAGAGGGAAGAUAGGAUUAUGGUAUUACCAAAUACAUUUUUUUUUUCAACUCUUCUACAUCUUCUAAAUGUAAUACUCUUGGUUAUUGAUUGUCUCUGGAUCCUUAAGGUGCAUAGAAGGAGCCUGUGAAAUACACAAAGUAAACAUGAAAAAACCUAGUAUGCACAUUUUCAUUUUCAUAUUAUUGUACAAUAAUAAUGUCUGAUCUGUUUAGUUGAACACAACAGUGAGACUGCAGAAAUUGAAGAAAGACCUGAAUCAUUCUGUUUAGUUUUCAUAACCAAGUAUAACUGCUGCCAUCUAAUGGAAUAGUUUUUAAAUAAAAAUUGCUUUUCACUGAAUAUUUAUUUACUGCGUAAAUUUUAAGUUUGCUUUUUUUUUUUUUUUGGACUUUUUUUAAUGGCAUACGAUAAUGUUUCUAGUUUCAGUUUUUUAUUGAACAAAAGCACAAUGGUUUUGAGAUUUAAACUAACAAUCAUACGACCCAGACCAGUAUGUGGUCACUUGAGGUAUGUUGAUUACAGGCCUCCAGAGUUCAUUUUUAUCAUUAGACUGAUCAGGCACAUUGAGUGAAAUGGAGAGAAGUCAGUGUGGAGUGAUAGUGUGAUUGAAUGGGGAGGGUCCUGUUAACCAGCUCUCAGAAAGUAGUCUUUAUUUCACAGAGAAUAUUUUUCACAGCAACGAGUGUGAAGUGAAAGUUCACCUCCAACAGGGAUAAGAAAUUAAGUUCAUUUUCAAUUAUACAUCACAAAGUGCAAAAAGGGCUGAAGUCGAAGCCUGUAUGUGCGAUUGUGUGUGUAUUUCACCUCAUCUGCAGUUCGACUUUGAAGUUGUGACUUUGUCGGGAGCAGAAGCCCAAAGCAGGAGGUGGGAGAGUCGAAAGUUUACCACCUGAGGGCCGUGUGUACACAGGAGGGCUGGCUUUUUAGCAUAUUCCUGUUGAAAUGAAAAUUUGUCAGGAGCAACAUUUCAGAAAUAUAUUCAGUGUUCCUGCCCUUGAGAGUCACAGUGUGAAAAUGGACAUUUACCAGCAAAAAAAAAAAGAAAGUAUUUUAACACUUCUUCUGGCUAUAUAAUCAAUUCAAUUUAAGAUAAGUCCAGAAAUGAAAAAUUAGUUGUUCAAUUAUGUCAUCUUUCAUUUAUAUGUUUGUAUUAUUAUCUAUGACAUGAUAUAGAUAUGAUGCUCUACUUUAAAGACAAUAACAUUACAAACCCUCAUUAUAUUUCCAGGCCUGUUUUUCAAAAUUUUAAGGUUGUCCCUUUACUCCAGUACUUUUCAAAUAGUGGGGCGUGUCCCCUUGCAGGGCGUGGUGGGGCGCCGGGGGGUGGGGUUUGGUCUUUCAAUGGAAUAUGGCACGCUGGACGUGUACCACUGCUGUAAUGCUCGAAGGAUUAGGCCUCCAGUCACUAGGUGGCAGCAACUCAUACAGUGGUUUGUACAGAUAGAAAUAUACACGUUAUCAAUAGUAAUUCAAUUCGCCGGAGUGUGGGUCGGAAAUAUAACUCUUUACGUUGUAUUGCACGCAGUUUUAGCCUUUUUCCCCGCGUCACGCAACUUGAAGAUUUUGUCCCACUUUUUCAUUCGACAUUAUUUAAUUGAAAACAAACUAUUUUAUGUACCUGGCUGUCUAUCAGUGCGGUCCAUAGCAAUAAUAGGCCACUUCGUCGAUGAGGCGGAAGCUAACAGGCUAAGUAGUCUGCCAAUCAAACUGCUAACCUUGCAGCAAUUGCACACACGUUAGCGUCUGAAUUGUUAGAGCACGCAGUUGUUUUGAUACUGUGAAGGCGUCCAUGGGCAGUGUGCCGAAAAAUAAAGAAGGCGCCACAGUUUGGCUGAGCCCAGUGAAUGGAUAUUAUGAACCAGCAUUCUGCAAUUGGUGUAAAAACGGCUUUUCUGUCGGCCGUGGAAGCGAACCUGAUGGGAAACAACACGACGCACAAACGUCCUAUUCCUAGUGCUAAGAAAGGCUGUUGGCCUGCCACCUGCUGGAUUGUGAUGCAAAAUCUGUUUGGUGGCUGUGAGGUGGAAAUGUUUACCAGUGAAACCAGACCCUGUUGUUGGUGGCUGUGAUUGAACGACGCAGAGCUGCUGUUAAAGAGAGAGGUAAGUGGUAUGAAUUUAUGGACUUAUGUUAAUGUUGCAGAACACUGGGUGUAAAAUAGAACUAUUCUGUGUCAUGUUCUUAAUUAUAAGCGCACAAAGUUUAUUUGUUUUUUUUAAAUUUGCCUUCUUAUCAUCAAAAUUCUUACCAAAGUUUCAUUAUCUGGUUAUCAGAGAUUAAAGUGGGAAAAUACAGGCUUACCUGCUCUAUAUUAUCUGGUCACAAUAAUGUCUUUCAGUAAGAUCAAUUUUUUAAGUUCAAAGGUCAUCUUGUGACAAUCUUUAUGUGACAGUGGUAAAUAAAAAUGACAGUUUCAGGAUUAGGAUCUGCAUAACUAAAAAUUUAAAUAAAUUUAAACUGAACCCCUUUGACCACUUAGCCAACACUGCAUUCACAUCUGCAUAGAGUCUGACCUAUGUGCUGCAUGUUUGAAGAAUAGCAAUAAUUUUGAAAGCUGUAUUUUGGUGAAACCUUUGACGUUUGCUCAUUAUUUGUGGGUAAGAUGAUGUAAAACAACCGAAAAUAUAAUAGAGUGCAAUGGCCAUUGUUAGUAUUGAAAGGUAAAAAAGUAUUUUAGAGUGAAGAAUGACAAAGUGGAAAAAGCAAAAGAGUGAGACCACAAAGAGUCGGAGGGAACAUAAAUACCUCCAGCUGAGAAAACUCCAACAGAAGAGUAGGAAAAAUAGAUGAGGGAGUCGACGGAGGGUUUACUCGGUGGGAGGCUCUGGCUUUGAACUGAGCGGAGGAAAAAGACAGAAGGAAGAAUGAAGGGAUCUCAGAGCAGAUCAUGAUGUAGAGGAGUGGAUUAAAGAAGCAGAGAUCACAACAGAGUUAAGAAGAGUGUGAGACCGAUGAUGAUAAAAAAAAAAAAAGAGAGAGAGAGAGAGACAAUAGGCUGCAACUGCAGCACAGACUGAACUGAGCCAUAACACCCAUGUCUGUGAACCUGCAGAUUAUUAACUAAAACUGGAGACAGCAGAUUUUAGCAGCUUAAUGGGCAGGACUGUAGACCUAAUCCAGACUUACCUGUAUGCAAAUAUUAAUGCAUAAUAUUUGUCCAUGUAAGAUGUGAUGAGAGAUAUGACUUUAUUAAUUCCACAGUGGAUGUAAAUCCAUGUUACUCCAGCGGAGUAGAUAAAUGAAAGUAGAUCCGAGUUAAAAGAAAAAUGUAUUUUUCUCAGUGCAGUCUCCUUGUUUUGGUUUAGAACGUUAUACUUCAUGGAUUUUCUCAGCUGUCUUUGUGGAACCUGAUGUUUGUAUGUAUUUCUUACAUACAGUUUACAGUCAGUGAUCCAGAGUUCAGCUCUAGUGGAUUGUCAGCAUAAUGCUGCUGUAUCUGAGACUUGGCGCCCGCUGAUGUUACUUUGUUGCUGUCAUUCUGUUGUGCAAACGUGUGUUGGCGUGUUCAAGUGUUCAUUGCUGCAGUGUUAUAUCUGUAUUGUAGUUCUCUAUAGAUGCUUUGUUUUUAGUGACGUCCAUAAUUUCUAGGCAACAGUCGUGACUUAUUUGCUUGACUCGUCAAGGCAGACAGUUUGACUGGAGCUGGGCCAGGUUUGGUCAAACAGUAUUGAUGUGGGUCAAGUUUAUAUAUGCACCAAUAGGACAACAGUAUUGAUUUUAUAACUCGGUUUACACUUGCUGAGAAUGUUCUUCUGAUUACACCAGGGCUGUCAAACUCAUUCUGGUUCACGGGUUGCAUACAACUUAAUUAGAUG